AGCUUGCUCUUAUGAAGUUAGCGGCGGACGGGUGAGUAACACGUGGGUAACCUGCCCAUAAGACUGGGAUAACUCCGGGAAACCGGGGCUAAUACCGGAUAACAUUUUGAACCGCAUGGUUCGAAAUUGAAAGGCGGCUUCGGCUGUCACUUAUGGAUGGACCCGCGUCGCAUUAGCUAGUUGGUGAGGUAACGGCUCACCAAGGCAACGAUGCGUAGCCGACCUGAGAGGGUGAUCGGCCACACUGGGACUGAGACACGGCCCAGACUCCUACGGGAGGCAGCAGUAGGGAAUCUUCCGCAAUGGACGAAAGUCUGACGGAGCAACGCCGCGUGAGUGAUGAAGGCUUUCGGGUCGUAAAACUCUGUUGUUAGGGAAGAACAAGUGCUAGUUGAAUAAGCUGGCACCUUGACGGUACCUAACCAGAAAGCCACGGCUAACUACGUGCCAGCAGCCGCGGUAAUACGUAGGUGGCAAGCGUUAUCCGGAAUUAUUGGGCGUAAAGCGCGCGCAGGUGGUUUCUUAAGUCUGAUGUGAAAGCCCACGGCUCAACCGUGGAGGGUCAUUGGAAACUGGGAGACUUGAGUGCAGAAGAGGAAAGUGGAAUUCCAUGUGUAGCG
rnacentral:rRNA from 2 species